rnacentral:rRNA from 1 species
CCUACGGGGGGCAGCAGUGGGGAAUAUUGCACAAUGGGGGCAACCCUGAUGCAGCGACGCCGCGUGAGUGAAGAAGUAUUUCGGUAUGUAAAGCUCUAUUAGCAGGGAAGAAAAUGACGGUAUCUGUUUAAGAUGCGCCGGCUAACUACGUGCCAGAAGCCGCGGUAAUACGUAGGGGGCAAGCGUUAUCCGGAUUUACUGGGUGUAAAGGGAGCGUAGACGGCAGCACAAGUCUGGAGUGAAAUGUCGGGGCUUAACCCCGGAACUGCAUUGGAAACUGUGCAGCUUGUGUGCAGGAGAGGGAGAUGGAAUUCCUAGUGUAGCGGUGAAAUGCGUAGAUAUUAGGAGGAACACCAGUGGCGAAGGCGGCUUACUGGACUGUAACUGACGUUGAGGCGCGAAAGCGUGGGGAGCAAACAGGAUUAGAUACCCCUGUAGUC